CUUGCCGCAAUCUAAGGUGGCGGAAUGUCAAUGUCAACUAGGAAGGUGGGUUGCCGAGCAAUUCAACUAUCGAACGAAGCAGUUGUUCAACUGAUCAUGACACACUUGGCAGACUGCUGGUGUGACAAGAAAGACAGAGUUAAAUGAAACCGAGCCCAGGGUUGUAACCGAGCCACCUGAAUGACAUGGAGAUUGACAGACUUGAUUUCAAGUUGAACUUUCAAGUAAAGGGCCAUCCACUUUGGUGAAUUUUCGAACAUCUUCUAUAGUUGUCUCAACCACAGUUCAACAUUUUUUAUGUAGUUGAUGUCACUGGUUGUGUCAGUACAGGCAAGGGUUAGUUUAUGGCACAAGCAGUGAAACGUAAUCACUCUAUUGUUGACCUCUUUAAGAUGAGCAGCUACACCUGAUUGUUCACCCACCAUGACAGUAGCUCCAUCAGAAGCCAUGGAGCUCAGCUUUUGAAGUUGAAGACCAUAGUGAUCUAGCUUUCUAAUUAGAAUGUUAAAGAUGGUUUCAGCAUUUGCAG